AGCUCUUAGAGGUUUUAGUUACAGAGACUCCCAUCACUAUUAACAUGCAGGCACAAGAAAGUGAAGAGGUGAAUUCUAAAAGAGACAACAGACUUCAAUAACCCACUAGAUGUGUUGUGACAAAUUUCAUGAACCUAAACCCAAAUUAUGUUUGAAGAACAAAAGUGAAUUAUGGCUGACAAAUGGAGUGAGUAAAUCCUGAGUGAACCUUGUCCGGGGUCUGCUCUUUGAGUAAUGUCUCAACAGGAUAACUUGAAGGAGUGCAGGAAAACAUUUCUGUAAGAUUCUAAGCAGGACUUCCUGUGAAACCUCCUGGGAAGACCUGGCUAAUACCAGAUCAGCUAUGGUUUAUUUAGUUAAAUCUUGCAUCACUUCAAGGAUGGUUUCCUUUGUGCUGACCUGAUCUGAAACCACACCAUCCAACUGAAAUGUUUUCUGUAAAAUCAGUUCUGCACCUCCCAAGAUAAAUUUGAUGUUAUAUUAAUCAGUGUUUGUAACAGGACCAUAAUAUAAUUACGGUAUUCCUUCUUGUUGACACUAUAUUUCUCUUAAAGUUUUCAUGUUUUUGUUGAAAACUGUUCUUGAAAACACCCCCCCUUGAACUGGAUGCUCGUACUCAAAUAUGUCAGCCAAUAUCAAGGGUGUUUAGCAAAUGCUGAGCAGUUUAUACAGAAUGUGGGGAGUUAAGUUUGGAAAUUUUAUAUCAUUCUUUGUAUGCCUGGUCCUCCCCAGACGCAUACCAGGUCCAAAGGUAAUGCAGCUAUGGAUAUAGGAGAAAUACCUGGGAUGCCACUAUUCAAAGGGUGAGAGGGAUUUACUGUGGAUGGGUUAUCGAAGUGCUUGUUUUCUCCAAAGAGGAAUGACUGUUCCCAGUUUGAAACAUCACAGCUGGUGGGUGAAUCUAACCAUCCAUCUCCCAUCAAAGUCAAUGUGAGUCAUCCAGCUGGAGUCCUCCUGCCUUUCUCUGAGAGGCUGAAGCAUUGUCACUGCCUUCUAUAGGGAAGAAGACUGGGCAAGCUGACAUGAAGAUAAAUAGCUAGAGUUUCUUCAGUCAGGUAAAUGAGGACACUAUUUCUUGAAAUUUGUUAGUUCCAUGAUCUGAUACACCAGCAGGCUUCAGAGGCUCAGGGGGCUCCUCAAGCAACUCUCUGACAAUCUGAUUCCUUGGUACCUGUGGUGUGCUGGCAAGCAAAGAUGGAACAACACAGCAGACAGUUUGGCUGUCAAGAAUCUCCUAGAGGAGAAAAUCAUGAUGCAUAGACACAGUCUCCUAUGCACUUCAGUAGGACUGUGUGGGAGAGGAAAAAAAUAUUUUUUCAGAGCUAUCAACAGUAUCUUUGUGGAAAAACCCUGAACUUGAGGUUACCUAGAAGCAUUUUUGAACCAUUUUCCUUUUAGCUGUUUGAUGCGUAUUCAUAUUUAUUGGUUUCUACAAUCCAUAAACAGAUAAAGGAAAAUACCUGGAUACCGGCUAUUUCCAUCAAAUGUUGAGUGUUAAAAAUAACCAGUGAAAAUGAGCCCUUAUAUCUUGUGAGCUGACUGAGGUUUAUUUUGUGAGCAUUUGUGGAGAUGGACAAAGGCUCUGAGGUUUUUAGCCUCCCCCUGUUCUUAUUAGCUGUGCAAAUCCACUGCGUGACUGCUAAAUGCAUCCAAAGGAAGUUUUGUCUGGGCAUCUUCUGCUAAAUUCCUGGCAGCCUGUGCUCCUCUAAUAACCAAUAUCUCCCUGUGUUGCCAAACACACAGGUUUAUGAUGUUGCAGGGAAAGAUCUGUAAGGCUGUAAUCUUGUGCAUGACCAACAGGACCUCAGCAUGGCUCUGAGCACUAGCACUGACCUGCACUGGUGUUGCCACAAGCCCACAGCAGCAGAAGACAGUUUCCGUCUUCAGAAAGCAUGAUAUUCAGUUUUUGCUCUCAAAACAGGCAGGUGUUGUCACCACCUUAGUGUAAGUCACAACACAGGGCCAUGAAGAUGUUCCUGAAACAGCUAGAACAGCUGCUGGGAGCAGCUGUACCACCACCAGCACACUGUGGGCACUCAGGAGGCACUCAGAUGGACCAUUCUGGUGUCUGAGCUGCUCCAGAUCCCUCUAAAAACCAAAGCUUGGGGCCAGGGGAACAGACCUUCAACAUCAGGGCCAGUAUAAGAAAACACUGACGUUUCCCCUAGCGUGGACACCAAGAAGGGUGGUGAUAUCCUGUGAUGCAAUAUCCCUGAAGGGAUGCCGUGUUUCCAAAGGCUUAAAUGAUGUUCAGCCAUGCCUGCCCAUGACCCUGCCCCUGUCCUGCUGAGCAGGGCAAGGGGAGAGGGUGGUUCCUCUCACCUCCCACUGCCAGCCCUAAUUGCUGGGUCUCUCCCUGGCUUCUGUUAGCAGAUGGCACUUCUCAUUUAGCUAAACAAUUUACCAUGAAGUCUUCUUAUUUCAGAUCAAACCACUAGCUAACAUCAAGCAAUUACUGUGUUUGCUUCUAUACUUAUUUAAAAAACACUUCAUUAGGAUGUUAGCAUUUAGACCUUUGGAGAUGCAUGACAUCAGCUGUCAUGGGGAGCAAAGACCCUGCGUAAACAGAAGAUUCAUCCCCUGAGCAAGAGCGAUGCUCCACUUUAUUAAUAAAAGUGUGAAGCAUGGUAUAAUUCACCCGCCCACCCUGCCAGAGAUUUAACAACACAACACUUCAGUCAGCAGAAAAGACAGACACGAUAUUUUCCAAAUUGAUAGAAUAUCUAUUGAAAACCUAUUUAGACACUUUAAUGGGAUAACAGGAGCACAGUGCCAAUCUGUGGAGGAGGAGAGCUCAUCAGAAACUUUAAUACUUCCAUAUGCAAAAGAAAAUAUAAUUUGCAGAGUUUCCUUCCUAGUUUCAUCCAUCUGCCUCACCAUGCUAUUCCUUUUUGUCUCUUAUUUAUGGCUGUAAUUUUGAUGCCACAGUUAGUGUACAUGAGCUGCUGUAUAUUUCUGUUAUUUGCUUUGAAAUUGCCCUUUUCAGCUCAUAUCUGAAGUCAUUUAUUUGCCCACAAA